CAUUUAUACAUUAAACAUUUUAUUGUUAUCCAUUAAAAACUGCAAAGGAGAAUGUUAAAAAAAGUCGAUUUCCCGACUAUCGAUGGAACCUAAAAUUCGAGUUCCAUGGGUAUCUAUGAACCAUAUAAGAUGUAAAAAUGGUGACCUUUUUUCCUAGAGACCUGGGGAAAGUAUUGAAAAUCUAUCAGAACUCUAUUGAAAAUAGCGUCAUUCGAUCGAUCUGAAGAUAACUAUAAAAUCGAUGACAUGGGUGAAUUUUUCAUCAAACCAAGUUCUGGUUAAGCACUUAUAUAGUUUUCCAAAUCAAUAAUGUUUUAAUAUCGGGAUCGCAAAAUUCAAGAUUGUGGAUCCAAUAUGGUAGAUCAGUAUUGAGAAAAACUAGAUUCGAGGAUAUAGUUACUUCCGAAUAAAAGAUCUGAUUCCACAUUCAAAUACAUUAUGUUUUUUAGUUUUUUAUUUAAAUAUUUUUGUUUCAUUUUGAAUAAAAUUCUUUAGUUUUAACAUAGAAAAUAUGAGAACUAUUAAUAUUCUCUAUGUUAGAACUAAAGAAUUCUAUUCAACAAUAAAAUGUAAGUAAUUGUGAGCAAUCAAUUGAGAAACAAAAAUAUUUAACAAACAAAUAAACAAAUUAAAAAACAAUGUAUUUGAAUGUGGAAUCAGAUCUUUUAUUCGGAAGUAACUACAUCCUGGCAUCUAGUUUCUCUCAAUACUGAUCCACCAUAUUGGAUUCGCAAUUUUGAAUUUUGCAAACCCGAUAUUAAAACAUUAUUGAUCUCAAAAACUAUUUGAUAAGUGUUUAACCAGAACUUGGUUUGAUUGAAAUGUCAUCCAUGUCAUCGAUUUUAGUUGUCUUCAGAUCGAUCGAAUGACGCUAUUUUCAAUAGUUUUGACAGAUUUUCAAUACUUUCCCCAGGUCUCUAAGAAAAAAGACCAUCAUUUUUAUAUCUUAUAUGGUUCAUAGAUACCUAUGGAACUCGAAUUUUAGGUUCCAUUGAUAAUCGGGAAAUCGACCUUUUUUAACAUCCUCCUUUCCUCUUUUAAACACAAUUUUUUGUUUUCUCAAAAACUGCAUACAUUAAAAAAUAACAGCUGAUUGGUUUCAGCAAUUUUCUAUGAGACACCCUGCAUAAUGUCAACAAGAGAUGUUAUUAAAAAUAUUGCACACACAGUGCUGAUCUAUUUGUAAUGGUACUGAUAAAUUUUCAUUACCCAAGUGUAUAGAAGAAUUGUAUCGCCGAUAGAUUGCGUUUGAAAACUGUUAAAACAAUUUUCAACAUCCGAUUCUGAUUCGCCAUAGAUUCCAGAGCCGACAUCAUAAAACGGCCAAGUCCUUUACGUCUAAUCACAGGUUCCAAUUGUAAUUCAUAGCUAUAUACAUACAUAUAAAUAUUUAAUUUAUAUCACAGUUUUAUUUUAAAUAUGUGUGUGUGUGUGUGUACGUGCGUACUCUGCGUAUUCUUUAAGGUUUAGAGCUCAAGGUCAAUUCCUUAAGGUUUAGGGCUCAAGGUCAAUUCCUUAAGGUUUAGAGCUUAAGAUAUACUUAAUAUACAUACCAAUAUAAUACUACAUCGCCAUUGUCAAUGUCGAAGCGAAAAUGUGAGAAGCCUAAAAACUUGUCAUUACACGAUGCUAUCAAGUA